CCCGGGGGUUCCAAGGGGGUAAGAGCCCUUCGGGGUACACAAGCGGCGAAAGGGUGAUAACGCUUGAGCAAUCUGCCCAUCACUUCGGGAUAACUCCGGGAAACCGGUGCUAUUACCGAAUAUGACCACUUCACGCAUCUGAUGGUGGUGGAAAGUUCCGGCGGUGAUGGAUGAGCUCGCGGCCUAUCGUCUUGGAGGUGGGGUAACGGCCUACCAAGGCUUCGACGGGUAGCCGGCCUGAGAGGGUGACCGGUCACACUGGGACUGACACACGGCCGGACUCCUACGGGAGGUUCAGUGGGGAAUAUUGGACAAUGGGCGGAAGCCUGAUCCAGCAACGGCGGGGUGAGGGAUGACGGCCUUCGGGUUGUAAACCUCUUUCAGCAGGGACGAAGCGCAAGUGACGGUACCUGCAUAAGAAGCACCGGCCAACUACGUGCCAGCAGCCGCGGUAAUA
rnacentral:rRNA from 1 species